AUUGAACGCUGGCGGCAGGCCUAACACAUGCAAGUCGAACGAGUGGCGGACGGGUGAGUAAUGUCUGGGAAACUGCCCGAUGGAGGGGGAUAACUACUGGAAACGGUAGCUAAUACCGCAUACCAUCGGAUGUGCCCCGAUGGGAUUAGAUAGUAGGUGGGGAAACGGCUCACCUAGGCGACGAUCCCUAGCUGGUCUGAGAGGAUGACCAGCCACACUGGAACUGAGACACGGUCCAGACUCAUACGGUAGGCAGCAGUGGGGAAGAUUGCACAAUGGGCGCAAGCCUGAUGCAGCGAUGCCGCGUGUAUGAAGAAGGCCUUCGGGUUGUAAAGCACUUUCAGCGAGGAGGCGUUACUCGCAGAAGAAGCACCGGCUAAAUCCGUGCCAGCAGCCGCGGUAAUAC
rnacentral:rRNA from 1 species